rnacentral:rRNA from 1 species
UACAGAGACUGCAAGCGUUGUUCGGAUUCAUUGGGCGUAAAGGGUGCGCAGGCGGUGUGCUAAGUCGGAUGUGAAAUCUCACAGCCUAACUGUGAUAGGUCAUUCGAAACUGGCAUGCUAGAGGAUUGGAGAGGAGACUGGAAUAGUUGGUGUAGCAGUGAAAUGCGUAGAGAUCAACUAGAACACCAGUGGCGAAGGCGGCUCACUGGCCCGGUACUGACGCUGAGGUGCGAAAGCGUGGGGAGCAAACAGG